rnacentral:rRNA from 1 species
UUACCGAGUUUACAACUCCCAAACCCAAUGUGAACGUUACCAAACUGUUGCCUCGGCGGGGUCACGCCCCGGGUGCGUAAAAGCCCCGGAACCAGGCGCCCGCCGGAGGAACCAACCAAACUCUUUCUGUAGUCCCCUCGCGGACGUAUUUCUUACAGCUCUGAGCAAAAAUUCAAAAUGAAUCAAAACUUUCAACAACGGAUCUCUUGGUUCUGGCAUCGAUGAAGAACGCAGCGAAAUGCGAUAAGUAAUGUGAAUUGCAGAAUUCAGUGAAUCAUCGAAUCUUUGAACGCACAUUGCGCCCGCCAGUAUUCUGGCGGGCAUGCCUGUCCGAGCGUCAUUUCAACCCUCGAACCCCUCCGGGGGGUCGGCGUUGGGGAUCGGGACCCCUCACCGGGUGCCGGCCCUGAAAUACAGUGGCGGUCUCGCCGCAGCCUCUCCUGCGCAGUAGUUUGCACAACUCGCACCGGGAGCGCGGCGCGUCCACGUCCGUAAAACACCCAACUUCUGAAAUGUUGACCUCGGAUCAGGUAGGAAUACCCGCUGAACUUAAGCAUAUCAAUAAGCGGAGGA